rnacentral:rRNA from 1 species
GAUGAACGCUGGCGGCGUGCCUAACACAUGCAAGUCGAGCGAACAGACGAGGCGCUUGCUCCUUCGACGUUAGCGGCGGACGGGUGAGUAACACGUAGGUAACCUACCUAUAAGACUGGGAUAACUUCGGGAAACCGGAGCUAAUACCGGAUAAUAUUUCGAACCGCAGGGUUGGAUAGUGAAAGAUGGCUUUGCUGUCACUAAUAGAUGGACCUGCGCCGUAUUAGCUAGUUGGUAAGGUAAAGGGUUACUAAGGCGACGAUUGGUAGCCGACCGAAGAGGGUGGUAGGCGACAUGGGAGGUGAGCCACGGUCCAGACUCCUGCGGUAGGCAGCAGUCUGGAACCGGCCGCAGUGGGCGAAAGCCUGACGGAGCGACGGGGAGUGAGUGAUGAAGGUCUUCGGAUCGUAAAGCUCUGUUAUUAGGGGAGAACAAACGUGUAAGUAGAUGUGCACGUCGUGACGGUACCGAAUCAGAAAGCCACGGCUAACUACGUG